ACCCGUUCCCAUUCCGAACACGGAAGUUAAGCUCAUUCGCGUUGACAAUACUUGGAUGGAAGCGUCCCGGGAAGAUAAAUCGAUGCCGGCA
rnacentral:rRNA from 1 species